rnacentral:rRNA from 1 species
UCCGGUGACUAGUAACUUUGUUGGAAACACUUAACCCCGUUUAGUAGGGCCCGCUGAGGAGCUUGUCUCUUUAUUGUCUCCUUUUUUGUCUCUUUAGCUCGCUGGAGAGGCACUGCCCAUCCCAAGGUCGGGCGCCGGGAGAAGGCCAGCCCGGCGGUCGCCGCGCGGCGGGGAGGCCGGAUGGGAAGGAGACCGCGGUUGAGGGGACAGGGACGGGGGCUCGUCGGGCGGUCGCGGCGGCUGGUCUGGAGGCGGGAAGGAGGAGGCGGCGAGGAGGAGACGUCCACAUCGGACGGCUCCACUUCUGAACCCUGCUCUAUUACCGUUCGAAGCGACUAAGGAAGAACCGGCUAGAACUGCUUGAAAGUCUGUUACUUCAGAUAGGGUACUCAACUAAAGACACAGAUGACGCAUUGGUACAAAAUUUUCCUAUGUAAACAACCGUUAAGGAAUUAGACAACAGUUUAAAGUCCUUCUUCUGUUGCGACUCCGUCACCCACACCUGCUUCUACCAUUGCUACUAUACGGACUGGAGCUCAGAGAAUUAAUACUACUAGAACUGUCACAGAGUUUUGAUGUCUUCUGUGUUACAAUAUAACUGUAUUACGUUCAGGUAAACGACGCAGUCUUUCAGCUUCCUCGCGAACUCUUUCCGUGUCUAAACAGAUUAGUUCCCAAGUAGGACCUCCUCCUAGGUCUCAUGGUCGAGUAACAUCGAACGUUACGAAAUAGUCAUCUAUAACUCUUACUUGAGUAAUAUUAGGUAUUAAAGUAUGCACUAUUCAUAGCCGACUUCACAGGACUUGACCUUAGGGAACAAGUAGUAGGCUAACUAAUACGGGCAGAACAAUUCUUCUAGCGGUUACUCUACCUAAGUUGUGAUCAUCUAGACCUUCCCGAAAAUGGAAGACGUCAAUAUUACCAACAGAGACACUGUCGCAGCUGUUGAUCACCCUUCGGAGAAAGACUCCUCUUAAACCAUUUUUGGUAACUUCGUACACUGUCUCGGGAAUUAGAACUACGACGUUUCUUCUUCCACGAACUAAAACAACUCCCAUCUUACCAAAUGUAGCGUGGUUUGGAAAGACCGUAACAACCGUCACGACAACGACGAUUUGACUACCCCUAACGACCACCAAACCCUCGUGAACGUUUUUACGGACUCGUUACAAGUCAAUGAACCUCCUUUCUUCUUUUUGGAGCGACCUAAAAGAUGACGGUGUAGAGUCAAAGCACAACCGAUAGAACUUGUUUGGCUUCAUAAAGUCUCGUGGGGAGGUCGGGACUCCUGGGCACGAACGUCCGAAUAUCGACGUUUCAGCUGAGAUCGUCGUUCUUAGCUAAACUAAUCUCCACUAGGUUGACCUUUUCGACCAGCGUUGAACAAUCUUCUUUAGGCAUUCUUCUAGCUCUUCACCGUCCUUGGUGGAGGACGUUUCGAAGGUUUUGGUGAAGGACAUGGUCUGAGGCUCGGAUUUUUCUUCUUUCCCCCAGCGGCGGAAACUUUUUACUUUCUUUCUAUACGCCAUUGACUAUACUACUUCGAACGUUUGGCUUACGUCAAACCUUAUGGUCUCCUCUCGAGUAAUCCACUACCAAACCCCCUUCCAAUACCGUACGAGCCCGUCCGGCCUUCACCCUUCGAUGCACAGAGUCGACGUGUCUUGUUUGAACGACGAUUUCACCGUUUUUUUAAGUUCCUCUUCUCAACACCAUCGUCACCACGUUGUAGACCUGACUGUAGAUCAAACCGGAAAUGUGGUCAAGUCCCUUAUCUUGACAGUUUGGGUGUCCGUGUGCCCUUGGAAGAGCCUUCACCUUAGGUCUCGUGGAUGAAGAGCCUCUGGCCGUGUAAAAGAGCCUAGCCAUCCGGACCUCCAAUCUUAGACUUUUUCAUUCUUGGACUAAAACUCUAGUCUUGCUACUAACAAAGAACCAGGUUCGUUAAAGUAGGGUAAGACGUGUGUUAAGGGUUCUUGGUUGACAACCCUACGUGAACGCGUGUUGGUCGAACAUUAUAAGAGUCUACAUAGCGUACCAGACAUUACAUUCAUGUCAAAGGGACGUUUUUUCUUUUUACAUUCAUGUCAAGCGCGUGAUGUUGUAGUGUUACAUACUUCAGUCCGUCAUGUGUUGUAAGUAAUGGAUACGAAGCUCGCACCUAUUAAAAAGAUCUUUUGGACAACCUUAAUGGAACAGACUUUGACAACUUAAGGUUUACAACCUAACAAGGUAUGGUAAGUUGGCUCAACUCGAGGUCCGUUCUACUAUUAACACUAACUGGAAAAACUCCUUUAUUAAAAAGAGGCUUCACCUUUUGGUAGUACAACACUAGAUC